rnacentral:rRNA from 1 species
UACGAAGGGGGCUAGCGUUGCUCGGAAUCACUGGGCGUAAAGCGCACGUAGGCGGCUUCUUAAGUCAGGGGUGAAAUCCUGGAGCUCAACUCCAGAACUGCCCUUGAUACUGAGAGGCUCGAGUCCGGGAGAGGUGAGUGGGAACUCCGAGUGUAGAGGUGAAAUUCGUAGAUAUUCGGAAGAACACCGAGUGGCGAAGGCGGCUCACUGGGCCCGGUACCUGACGCUGAGGUGCGAAAGCGUGGGGAGCAAACAGGG